GAGUAACACGUGAGUAACCUGCCCUUGACUUUGGGAUAACUUCAGGAAACUGGGGCUAAUACCGGAUAGGAGCUCCUGCUGCAUGGUGGGGGUUGGAAAGUUUCGGCGGUUGGGGAUGGACUCGCGGCUUAUCAGCUUGUUGGUGGGGUAGUGGCUUACCAAGGCUUUGACGGGUAGCCGGCCUGAGAGGGUGACCGGCCACAUUGGGGCUGAGAUACGGCCCAG
rnacentral:rRNA from 1 species